GGGUUGCUAACUCAAUGGUAGAGUAAUCGGCUCGACGAGUUAUGGGUUCGAGCCCCGGCCCCGGUCAACCCG
rnacentral:tRNA from 1 species